GAGGUGAAACACAGGUGGCUGGUUAAAGUGGGCUAGGCUGGUGGAAUUCCAGAGCUGAGAACCAGUGGUUGGAGUCUGGAUUGUGCACCUCAAUGAACCAGCCUGGAUGGAGUCAGGAUCUUCAGAAUUGCCUUUGAGAAGAAACCUAAAGGAAGGGCACAGGACCUUGCCCCUCAGCCAAAGCCUUGGAAAGCCCAAUGAAUAAUCGACUCUUAUCCUGCUUUUUCUAUCAAAGUGGAUCUGAAUCUUCUAUGGCCUUAAGUUGCCAUGAAGCUCCAACUCUCCUCAUACAGUUCCAGUCCAGUCCACUCUCCCUCUGCUGGAACCCAAGGU